GCGGGUCAUGGCGCGGCUACCGAAGCUGGCAGUCUUUGAUUUGGAUUACACUCUCUGGCCUUUCUGGGUCGACACACACGUAGACCCUCCGUUCCAUAAGAGCAGGUGAGGUAGGGACAGGGAAGACUGGGGCGAGAUAGGACCCAGCCAGGGCUGAGCGCACUCUUGCCCUCUCCAGUGAUGGAACUGUACGAGAUAGGCGGGGCCAAGACGUCCGACUGUACCCAGAGGUGCCUGAGGUCCUAAAACGAUUGCAGAGCCUUGGGGUGCCCGGUGCGGCUGCUUCAAGGACAAGUGAGAUAGAAGGGGCCAACCAGCUACUGGAGCUCUUUGACCUCUUCAGGUACUUUGUUCAUCGGGAAAUCUAUCCAGGCAGCAAGAUCACACACUUUGAGAGGUAUGCGGAGAUAAGGGAGGAGCAGGGUGAGAAAGUACCAGAGAGGCUUGGGAAACCAAGAUACUAGCUUGGUUACUCCUGCCCUGUCUUGAAUAGGUUGCAGCAGAAGACUGGAAUUCCUUUCU
rnacentral:sRNA from 1 species